AGGACGAACGCUGGCGGCGUGCCUAACACAUGCAAGUGGAGCGACGAACCAGGCUUCGGCCUGGGGCAAAGCCGCGAACGGGUGAGUAACACGUGGGUAACCUGCCCCGAUGAUUGGGACAACCCGAGGAAACUCGGGCUAAUACCGAAUGUGCCCUCCGACCAUAAGGUCGCUGGGGAAAGGAAGCUUCGGCCUCCGCAUCGGGAUGGGCCCGCGGCCCAUUAGCUUGUUGGUGAGGUAACGGCUCACCAAGGCUGCGAUGGGUAGCUGGUCUGAGAGGACGAUCAGCCACACUGGGACUGAGACACGGCCCAGACUCCUACGGGAGGCAGCAGUGGGGAAUAUUGCACAAUGGGCGCAAGCCUGAUGCAGCGACGCCGCGUGGGGGAUGACGGCCUUCGGGUUGUAAACCCCGUUUCAGUAGGGACGAAGCGCAAGUGACGGUACCUACAGAAGAAGACACCGGCCAACUACGUGCCAGCAGCCGC
rnacentral:rRNA from 1 species